rnacentral:tRNA from 1 species
GGCCCCAUCGUCUAGCGGUUUAGGACACCGCCCUCUCACGGCGGAGACACGGGUUCGAAUCCCGUUGGGGCUGCCA